GUUGUAUAGUCAAGUAAUUAAGUGCAUGUGGUGGAUGCCUUGGCAGUCAGAGGCGAUGAAAGACGUGAUAGCCUGCGAAAAGCUCCGGGGAGGCGGCAAAUAUCCUUUGAUCCGGAGAUGUCUGAAUGGGGGAACCCACCUACUUUAAGGUAGGUAUUGCAACAUGAAUACAUAGUGUUGCAAGGCGAACGAGGGGAAGUGAAACAUCUCAGUACCCUUAGGAAAAGAAAUCAAUUGAGAUUCCCUCAGUAGCGGCGAGCGAACGGGGAUCAGCCCAUUAAGUUAUGUGUGUUUUAGUGGAACGCUCUGGGAAGUGCGAACGUAGAGGGUGAUAUUCCCGUACACGAAAGGGCACACAUAAUGAUGACGAGUAGGGCGAGGCACGUGAAACCUUGUCUGAAUAUGGGGGGACCAUCCUCCAAGGCUAAAUACUCCUGACUGACCGAUAGUGAACCAGUACCGUGAGGGAAAGGCGAAAAGAACCCCUGUGAGGGGAGUGAAAUAGAUCCUGAAACCGCAUGCAUACAAGCAGUGGGAGCACCUUCGUGGUGUGACUGCGUACCUUUUGUAUAAUGGGUCAGCGACUUAUAUUCAGUAGCGAGGUUAACCGUAUAGGGGAGCCGUAGAGAAAUCGAGUCUUAAUAGGGCGUUUAGUUGCUGGGUAUAGACCCGAAACCAGGCGAUCUAUCCAUGAGCAGGUUGAAGGUUGGGUAACACUAACUGGAGGACCGAACCCACUGUCGUUGAAAAGCCAGGGGAUGACUUGUGGAUAGGGGUGAAAGGCUAAUCAAGCCUGGUGAUAGCUGGUUCUCCCCGAAAGCUAUUUAGGUAGCGCCUCGGACGAAUACCAUAGGGGGUAGAGCACUGUUUCGGCUAGGGGGUCAUCCCGACUUACCAAACCGAUGCAAACUCCGAAUACCUAUGAGUACUAUCCGGGAGACAGACUGCGGGUGCUAACGUCCGUAGUCAAGAGGAAAACAAUCCAGACCGCCAGCUAAGGCCCCAAAAUCAUAGUUAAGUGGGAAACGAUGUGGGAAGGCAUAGACAGCUAGGAGGUUGGCUUAGAAGCAGCCACCCUUUAAAGAAAGCGUAAUAGCUCACUAGUCGAGUCGGCCUGCGCGGAAGAUGUAACGGGGCUAAAACUAUGUGCCGAAGCUGCGGAUUUGACAUUAGUCAAGUGGUAGGGGAGCGUUCUGUAAGCCGAUGAAGGUGUAUUGAGAAGUAUGCUGGAGGUAUCAGAAGUGCGAAUGCUGACGUGAGUAACGACAAAACGGGUGAAAAACCCGUUCGCCGAAAGACCAAGGGUUCCAGUCCAACGUUAAUCGGGGCUGGGUGAGUCGACCCCUAAGGCGAGGCCGAAAGGCGUAGUCGAUGGGAAAUUGGUUAAUAUUCCAAUACUUCUGUGUAAUGCGAUGAGAGGACGGAGAAGGUUAAGUCAGCCUGGCGUUGGUUGUCCAGGUGGAAGGAUGUAGGUAUGUAUCUUAGGCAAAUCCGGGGUACUCUAUACUGAGAUCCGAUAGCAAGCUGUACUUGUACAGCGAAGUGGCUGAUACCAUGCUUCCAGGAAAAGUCUCUAAGCUUCAGUUACACAGGAAUCGUACCCGAAACCGACACAGGUGGUCAGGUCGAGUAGACCAAGGCGCUUGAGAGAACUCUGCUGAAGGAACUAGGCAAAAUGGUACCGUAACUUCGGGAGAAGGUACGCUGUUGUUGGUGAUGGAACUUGCUUCCUGAGCUGAUGACAGCCGCAGAAACCAGGCCGCUGCAACUGUUUAUUAAAAACAUAGCACUCUGCAAACACGAAAGUGGACGUAUAGGGUGUGAUGCCUGCCCGGUGCUGGAAGGUUAAUUGAUGGGGUUAGCGUAAGCGAAGCUCUUGAUCGAAGCCCCAGUAAACGGCGGCCGUAACUAUAACGGUCCUAAGGUAGCGAAAUUCCUUGUCGGGUAAGUUCCGACCUGCACGAAUGGCAUAAUGAUGGCGGCGCUGUCUCCAGCAGAGGCUCAGUGAAAUCGAAAUCGCUGUGAAGAUGCAGUGUACCCGCGGCUAGACGGAAAGACCCCGUGAACCUUUACUGCAGCUUGACACUGAACUUUGACCUUACUUGUGUAGGAUAGGUGGGAGGCUUUGAAGUUGGAACGCUAGUUCCAAUGGAGCCGUCCUUGAAAUACCACCCUGGUAAUGUUGAGGUUCUAACUCUGUCCCGUUAUCCGGGACGAGGACCGUGUCUGGUGGGUAGUUUGACUGGGGCGGUCUCCUCCUAAAGAGUAACGGAGGAGUACGAAGGUGCGCUCAGCGUGGUCGGAAAUCACGCGUAGAGUAUAAAGGCAAAAGCGCGCUUAACUGCGAGACCCACAAGUCGAGCAGGUACGAAAGUAGGUCUUAGUGAUCCGGUGGUUCUGUAUGGAAGGGCCAUCGCUCAACGGAUAAAAGGUACUCUGGGGAUAACAGGCUGAUACCGCCCAAGAGUUCAUAUCGACGGCGGUGUUUGGCACCUCGAUGUCGGCUCAUCUCAUCCUGGGGCUGAAGCAGGUCCCAAGGGUAUGGCUGUUCGCCAUUUAAAGAGGUACGCGAGCUGGGUUUAGAACGUCGUGAGACAGUUCGGUCCCUAUCUACCGUGGGCGCUGGAAAUUUGAGAGGAUCUGCUCCUAGUACGAGAGGACCAGAGUGGACGAACCUCUGGUGUACCGGUUGUGACGCCAGUCGCAUCGCCGGGUAGCUAUGUUCGGAAGGGAUAACCGCUGAAAGCAUCUAAGCGGGAAGCCUACCUCAAGAUAAGAUUUCCCUAGGAAUUUAUUCCUCUAAAGAGCCGUUCGAGACUAGNNNNNNNNNNNNNNNNNNNNNNNNNNNNNNNNNNNNNNNNNNNNNNNNNNNNNNNNNNNNNNNNNNNNNNNNNNNNNNNNNNNNNNNNNNNNNNNNNNNNNNNNNNNNNNNNNNNNNNNNNNNNNNNNNNGACGUUGAUAGGUUGGAUGUGGAAGCAUAGUGAUAUGUGAAGCUGACCAAUACUAAUUGCUCGUGAGGCUUGACUAUACAACACCCAAGCAGUUGUAUACANCGUUGAUAGGUUGGAUGUGGAAGCAUAGUGAUAUGUGAAGCUGACCAAUACUAAUUGCUCGUGAGGCUUGACUAUACAACACCCAAGCAGUUG
rnacentral:rRNA from 1 species